rnacentral:lncRNA from 1 species
CAAGGAAACUCAUCUAAAGUGUUACUUUUCCUUGGAUCAAAUCUAAGGAGGUAAAUACUUUCGAUGUCUUACUCAUCAACUUACAUUUCUUGAAUUCUUUGAAACAUUUUACAAAGUAUUCGGACUUGUGUUUAUUCAAAAAUAAACUAUAGUCCAACCGAGAGUGAUCUUCGGUGAAUGUCAUCCAACAUGAGUAGUAUUAUGUUGUGGACAAGUGCCACUAACAUCUAAGUGAAUUAACCUCAACAACUUUGUGAUUCUUUCUUCUUUCCAAAAAGAAUAAAGAUUCGAACAUUUCGCCUCUAUACAAUUUUAACAAGAAGGUAUUGGAUCCAGAUCUAACGAUCCAAAGCAUCCAUCUAUGACCAACUCGUAAUUUAUGUUUUAGAGGUAUCACAACUCAGUUGGGAUUAGUCACUAUCUUGCAACCUUUUGGGUUUUAAGCAUCAUUAUAUUCUAAACAGUUAACAAUACCAUAUCAUCUCUACUAUAGAGACAAUCAAUUAGAUUACUAUAAUCCAAUCAUUGAUUAAUAAAGAACAAUGUUUUGUCAAACAAAACAUUCAUCCAUCUCUACUAUAGUGACGGAAUUAAGUUCCUUAAAAUUGGAA